rnacentral:rRNA from 1 species
UGGGGAAUAUUGGACAAUGGGCGCAAGCCUGAUCCAGCGACGCCGCGUGUGUGAAGAAGGCCUGCGGGUUGUAAAGCACUUUCGAUGGGAACGAAAUGUGCCGGGUUAAUACCCCGGUAAGCUGACGUUACUCAAUGAAGAAGCACCGGCUAACUCUGUGCCAGCAGCCGCGGUAAUACGUAGGGUGCAGGCGUUAAUCGGAAUUACUGGGCGUAAAGCGUGCGCAGGCGGCUCCUUAAGUCAGAUGUGAAAUCCCCGGGCUUAACCUGGGAACUGCGUUUGAAACUGAGGGGCUAGAGUGUGGAAGAGGGGGGUGGAAUUCCAGGUGUAGCAGUGAAAUGCGUAGAGAUCUGGAGGAACACCGAUGGCGAAGGCAGCCCCCUGGGCUAACACUGACGCUCAUGCACGAAAGCGUGGGGAGCAAACAGGAUUAGAUACCCGAGUAGUCCCUGAGCGGGCUGGCAAGGCGCAU